CCUACGGGCGGCAGCAGUGGGGGAUAUUGCACAAUGGGGGGAACCCUGAUGCAGCGACGCCGCGUGGGUGAAGAAGCGCCUCGGCGCGUAAAGCCCUGUCAGCCGGGAAGAAAAUGACGGUACCUGAAGAAGAAGCCCCGGCUAACUACGUGCCAGCAGCCGCGGUAACACGUAAGGGGCAAGCGUUAUCCGGAUUUACUGGGUGUAAAGGGGGCGCAGACGGCGAUGCAAGCCAGGAGGGAAAGCACGGGGCCCAACCCCGGGACUGCUGUUGGAACUGCGUGGCUGGAGUGCAGGAGGGGCAGGCGGAAUUCCUGGUGUAGCGGUGAAAUGCGUAGAUAUCAGGAGGAACACCGGUGGCGAAGGCAGCCUGCUGGACUGCAACUGACGUUGAGGCCCGAAAGCGUGGGGAGCAAACAGGAUUAGAUACCCGGGUAGUC
rnacentral:rRNA from 1 species